UCCACCUUGCGCAACUGGCGAAUCCUGGGGCUGCCGCCGGCAGUACCCGGCAGUGGGCAUUGACCACGAGGAAGCGCAAGGUCUCUGGCGUCAUGCACAACGACGCCUGCCGCUCGCCUGGGCAGCGAAU
ncrna:Ralstonia solanacearum TW551 ZMP/ZTP riboswitch